rnacentral:lncRNA from 10 species
UUUUUUUAUUUUAUUAUUAUUAUACUUUAAGUUUUCGGGUACAUGUGCACAAUGUGCAGGUUUGUUACAUAUGCAUACAUGUGCCAUGUUGGUGUGCUGCACCCAUUAACUCGUCAUUUAGCAUUAGGUAUAUCUCCUAAUGCUAUCCCUCCCCGCUCCUCCCACCCCACAACAGUCCCGGGUGUGUGAUGUUCCCCUAACAAUCUAAAUGUCCAACAACGAUAGCCUGGAUUAAGAAAAUGUGGGACAUAUACACCACGGAAUACUAUGCAGCCAUAAAAAAUAAUGAGUUCAUGUCCUUUGUAGGGACAUGGAUGAAACUGGAAACCAUCAUUCUCAGCAAACUAUCGCAAGGACAAAAAACCAAACACCGCGUGUUGUCACCCUUAGGUGGGAAUUGAGCAAAUAGUUCUUUAAACUGACAGGCUCUCUCUGGUGAUAUAUAUGUUUGGCCAAAAUCCAACAGGGAAUGAUCUACCAAAGGAGAAAUGUGGUUUGCAAAAUCUCAGUCCUGGUACAAUGAAGUGGAGGCUGAAAGCAGGGAUUUGGAACUGAGACAAAAGCUGAAUAUCCAACACAAAAAACUCUUAGAGGCCUCUAUCACUAAUUUGAUGGCCUGAUGUGCAUAUCAAGUGACAGUUAAAUUUAAAUUUCAAACAUGAUUAGGUCCCCUAAACACAGGUUUCAUUCUGUGAUGUCAGCAGUAUCCAGAGUGCUGUCAAUCUACAGGUAUUAAUAACAAGUAUGACUGAUGCAUAUUCCUGGUUAAUUAUUUGUCACUCAGAGAGGCAAAGGCAAAUUCUUUGGAAUAUUUUCAUUGGUAAGCAUUCAGUAAUGUUACCUAUUUUGUUUUCCCUCUUUCAAAGAGAUACAAUUGGCCUAAAUGUUUCACAGACUGCUUUAGACUAAAUCAAUUAUGAAUUAAAUUAUUUCCAUCACCAUGUUCCUCUAUAUGUGGACAAAUACCUAACCAGAUGAAUUUUAUGACUUAGAUGAGUACACUCUUGCCCUAUCAUAAAAGCUGCAUGAGUGCAUGUUCUAUAACUGCACUUAUCUGCAAUUGACCUGCCCACAAUGUCUAACACAGUGGCCAGCCAUGCAGUGGGCCCUCACUGUAUUUUUUUUGACUAAGUAGGUGCCAUUUAUUUUUUAAAAUAUCACCUUGAGAGACUUAUUUAAUAAUUUCAGUGAAUAGAAUAUCAGAAUUUUUUUUCAAAAUGUCAGUGAGUAGAAAGUGUUAAACUUAUUUCUAAAGUUUCUAUCAUGCAGAAACCUAUGCCUUUUAAGCCUCUGACUUCACAAGACAGGCAAAUUUUAUUUAAUGCCUAAUUAUACAAUGUAAAUUCAAUAUGUAUGUUUUAAUGUUGAUUAAAAAGCCUGGUAUUUUUAAGUUUCUGUAUUUUCAUUAAGGAGAAUAAAAGCUGCAGGCUGAUCUGUUUCUUUCAAUCAUUCAGUUUCUCAUUAAAAUACACUUAAAAUGUGUCAUAAAUCACAAUCCUCUCUGUGGUCAAACAGAGUACAGUGUGUUGAAGGUCUAAAAUACUCUUCAAAAGCAUCCACCUGAGAUGUAGCACUGAAAAUAAAAACAUAUGUAUAAAUGCAUGCAUAUAUGCAUAAAAUACAUAUAUACAUAAAUGCAUAUAUAUACACAUACGUAUUACAUAUAGUCAUAUUAGCUUG